CGGCCCAGACUCCUACGGGAGGCAGCAGUGGGGAAUAUUGGACAAUGGGCGAAAGCCUGAUCCAGCAAUGCCGCGUGAGUGAUGAAGGCCUUAGGGUUGUAAAGCUCUUUUACCAGGGAUGAUAAUGACAGUACCUGGAGAAUAAGCUCCGGCUAACUCCGUGCCAGCAGCCGCGGUAAUACGGAGGGAGCUAGCGUUGUUCGGAAAUACUGGGCGUAAAGCGAACGUAGGCGGUCUAUUAAGUCAGGGGUGAAAUCCCGGAGCUCAACUCCGGAACUGCCCUUGAAACUGCUAGACUAGAAUCCUGGAGAGGUCAGUGGAAUUCCGAGUGUAGAGGUGAAAUUCGUAGAUAUUCGGAAGAACACCAGUGGCGAAGGCGACUGACUGGACAGGUAUUGACGCUGAGGUUCGAAAGCGUGGGGAGCAAACAGGAUUAGAUACCCUGGUAGUCCACGCCGUAAACGAUGAUAACUAGCUGUCCGGGCUCAUAGAGCUUGGGUGGCGCAGCUAACGCAUUAAGUUAUCCGCCUGGGGAGUACGGUCGCAAGAUUAAAACUCAAAGGAAUUGACGGGGGCCUGCACAAGCGGUGGAGCAUGUGGUUUAAUUCGAAGCAACGCGCAGAACCUUACCAGCCUUUGACAUCCUUCGACGGUUUCUGGAGACAGAUUCCUUCCUUCGGGACGAAGUGACAGGUGCUGCAUGGCUGUCGUCAGCUCGUGUCGUGAGAUGUUGGGUUAAGUCCCGCAACGAGCGCAACCCUCAUCCUUAGUUGCCAUCAUUUAGUUGGGCACUUUAAGGAAACUGCCGGUGAUAAGCCGGAGGAAGGUGGGGAUGACGUCAAGUCCUCAUGGCCCUUACAGGCUGGGCUACACACGUGCUACAAUGGCAUCUACAGUGAGCAGCGAUCCCGCGAGGGUUAGCUAAUCUCCAAAAGAUGUCUCAGUUCGGAUUGUUCUCUGCAACUCGAGAGCAUGAAGGCGGAAUCGCUAGUAAUCGCGGAUCAGCAUGCCGCGUGGAAUACGUUCCCAGGCCUUGUACACACCGCCCGU
rnacentral:rRNA from 1 species